rnacentral:rRNA from 1 species
GACAGAGGUGGCAAGCGUUGCUCGGAUUCACUGGGCUUAAAGGGCGCGUAGGCGGCUUUGUAAGUCCGAGGUGGAAUUCCACAGCUUAACUGUGGAACUGCCUUUGAUACUGCAAGGCUUGAGUCAGGUAGAGGAGGGCGGAAUUCCCGGUGUAGCGGUGAAAUGCGUAGAUAUCGGGAGGAAGGCCGGUGGCGAAGGCGGCCUCCUGGGCCUGCACUGACGCUGAGGCGCGAAAGCGUGGGGAGCAAACAGG